AUUGAACGCUGGCGGCAGGCCUAACACAUGCAAGUCGAGCGGAGCGGCGGACGGGUGCGUAAUGCCUAGGAAUCUGCCUGGUCGUGGGGGAUAACGUCCGGAAACGGGCGCUAAUACCACAUCCUAUCAGCUGAGCCUGGGUAGGAUUAGCUAGUUGGUGGGGUAAAGGCCUACAAAGGCGACGAGCCGUAACUGGUCGGAGAGGAUGAUCAGUCACACUGGAACUGAGACACGGUCCAGACUCCUGCGGGAGGCAGCAGUGGGGAAUAUUGGACAAUGGGCGAAAGCCUGAUCCAGCCAAGCCGCGUGUGUGAAGAAGGUCUUCGGAUUGUAAAGCACUUUAAGUUGGGAGGCGUUACCAACAGAAUAAGCACCGGCUAACUUCGUGCCAGCAGCCGCGGUAAUAC
rnacentral:rRNA from 1 species